AGCUCCAAUAGCGUAUAUUAAAGUUGUUGCAGUUAAAAAGCUCGUAGUUGGAUCUCAGGCGCAGGCGGGCGGUCCGGCUCGCAGCCGGUUCACUGCCUCGUUACCUGCCCUAACCCCUGUCGGCUCUCUCCUGGCGGUGCUCUUCACUGAGCGUCCCAGGUGGCCGACGCGUUUACUUUGAAAAAAUUAGAGUGUUCAAAGCAGGCCAAAGCAGCCUGAAUAAUGGUGCAUGGAAUAAUGGAAUAGGACCUCGGCCCUAUUUUGUUGGUUUCCGGGACGGAGGUAAUGAUUAACAGGGACAAACGGGGGCAUUCGUAUUGCGGCGUUAGAGGUGAAAUUCUUGGAUCGCCGCAAGACGAGCUACUGCGAAAGCAUUUGUCAAGAAUGUUUUCA
rnacentral:rRNA from 1 species